UCCGUUAGGGGUACCUGCGGAGGGAUCAUUACCGAGUUUACAACUCCCAAACCCCUGUGAACAUACCUAUACGUUGCCUCGGCGGAUCAGCCCGCGCCCCGUAAAACGGGACGGCCCGCCCGAGGACCCCUAAACUCUGUUUUUAGUGGAACUUCUGAGUAAAACAAACAAAUAAAUCAAAACUUUCAACAACGGAUCUCUUGGUUCUGGCAUCGAUGAAGAACGCAGCAAAAUGCGAUAAGUAAUGUGAAUUGCAGAAUUCAGUGAAUCAUCGAAUCUUUGAACGCACAUUGCGCCCGCCAGUAUUCUGGCGGGCAUGCCUGUUCGAGCGUCAUUUCAACCCUCAAGCUCAGCUUGGUGUUGGGACUCGCGGUAACCCGCGUUCCCCAAAUCGAUUGGCGGUCACGUCGAGCUUCCAUAGCGUAGUAAUCAUACACCUCGUUACUGGUAAUCGUCGCGGCCACGCCGUAAAACCCCAACUUCUGAAUGUUGACCUCGGAUCAGGUAGGAAUACCCGCUGAACUUAAGCAUAUCAAAAGGCGGGAGG
rnacentral:rRNA from 1 species